rnacentral:rRNA from 1 species
CGCCUGGGGAGUGCGGCCGCAAGGUUAAAACUCAAAUGAAUUGACGGGGGCCCGCACAAGCGGUGGAGCAUGUGGUUUAAUUCGACGCAACGCGAAGAACCUUACCUGGCCUUGACAUCCAGAGAACUUUCCAGAGAUGGAUUGGUGCCUUCGGGAACUCUGAGACAGGUGCUGCACGGCCGUCGUCAGCUCGUGUCGUGAGAUGUUGGGUUAAGUCCCGUAACGAGCGCAACCCCUAUCCCUGGUUGCUAGCAGGUAAUGCUGAGAACUCCAGGGAGACUGCCGGUGACAAACCGGAGGAAGGUGGGGAUGACGUCAGGUCAUCAUGGCCCUUACGGCCAGGGCUACACACGUGCUACAAUGGCGCGUACAGAGGGCUGCCAACUCGCGAGAGUGAGCCAAUCCCUUAAAACGCGUCGUAGUCCGGAUCGGAGUCUGCAACUCGACUCCGUGAAGUCGGAAUCGCUAGUAAUCGCGAAUCAGAAUGUCGCGGUGAACACGUUCCCGGGCCUUGUACACACCGCCCGUCACACCAUGGGAGUGGAUUGCACCAGAAGUAGUUAGUCUAACCUUCGGGAGGACGAUUACCACGGUGUGGUUCAUGACUGGGGUGAAGUCGUAACAAGGUAACCGUA